AAGCAUUUCGUUUGCAAGUUCCCUCAGACUCAGCUGCAAGGAAGUCCUCGGCUAAACUGGCAGCGUCAGGAAUGAGAUGAUUAGAGACUUGAUAUAUGCUAAAGACGGCAAGAAUAGCAUUUUUACGGACAUAGGCAUGACGAUGUUCUAAGCAUUGGCGGACGGUUGGGAUUAAGGGAUCCAAAAGCUCUGGCUCUUUCAAUUUACAAAGAAAUCGUAAAGUAGCUCCCCGAAUGAACUCAUUAGGAUGUUGCAAGUCAUUGCGAAAUGAGUUACAAGCUAAGAUCAUUUCUUGUUUCAUAGUGCCAUCGUUGUUAUACUUAGGACAAACUUCCCAGUAAUAGUACAAAAGCUUUUUCAGUUCUUUAUUUCUGGAAGGCAUUACAAAUCGAAUCACGUGCAUUAAAAUGGAAGGAAGAGAAUCCCCGUUAAUUACGACCCGCAGGAUUGUCUUCAUGGCAGAUAUCUUGACAUAAUCAUUUUUGGACUCUAACGAGGUUUUUAGAGCAUCAACAGAUGGAGCUUCUAAAAAAUCCUGUUGAACAAGUGUCCAACAAGACAUAUUUGCUGCUUAAGGUAUGGUGACGGCAAAACCAACCUGAUGUUUGUUGAAAGCAGGUGUUGUAUA